UACGAAGGGGGCUAGCGUUGCUCGGAAUUACUGGGCGUAAAGCGCACGUAGGCGGAUCUUUAAGUCAGGGGUGAAAUCCUGGAGCUCAACUCCAGAACUGCCUUUGAUACUGAGGACCUUGAGUUCGGGAGAGGUGAGUGGAACUGCGAGUGUAGAGGUGAAAUUCGUAGAUAUUCGCAAGAACACCAGUGGCGAAGGCGGCUCACUGGCCCGAUACUGACGCUGAGGUGCGAAAGCGUGGGUAGCAAACAGG
rnacentral:rRNA from 1 species